AAACAAUAACAAUUGGUCAAAUUCUAAAAUUCAGGCUCCACCGGCGCCCUCACAUGGCAAGAAUACUUCCAGACACGUCUACACACUCCUCUAUUGCAUUCCUCACCCACCGAUCACCGCAGUUCCAUUCAAAUUCUUUAGCCCACAUCUGAAAAUUUCCCUUUCUUUUUUCUCUGUAUUCGAAUAAAUUUCUGUGAAAAUUUUCAUUUUCCUGUUUCUUUUUUCUCGAAGAAACUUUUUUGUUGAUGUUAUUAUCUUCGUAUUCGACUGCAGUUAUUUUACCAUAUUAUCGUGUUUUCGAUUGAUUAACAUCAUGGGAUGGUACAGAAGACCAUUUAGAUUCAUUUUUGAUGCUUUUCGUAGCUACAACUCAAACAUUACUGUGCAUAGAAGCCUCAUUCAAGAACCGAGUUUAAGAACUGGUUGCUACACUGAUUCUUUGAAGCCCAGCUUCACUAAAUCGAGAAUUUCUGAAUUUUCUCAACCAAUUUUUAGGAAUUCUGCUUUACAAAAUGGGUUUAAAUCAAUCCAAAGUAAUAGCCCCUUUCUUCACGGAGUGAAGAGGUUUUACUAUGUGGACAGGUACCAGGUUUACCACUUCAAGCCAAGAGGUUUCAAAAGGUGGUUUCAGAAUCCCAGAAACGUGAUUAUUGUGGUUUUGGUAGGCUCUGGGGUUGUUAUUACUGUAUACUAUGGGAAUUUGGAGACUGUUCCUUACACAAAAAGAACUCAUUUUGUAGUUUUAUCAAAAAGUCUGGAAAAAGAGCUGGGAGAGACUCAAUUUAAGCAGAUGAGACAAAGUUUUAAGGGGAAAAUCCUGCCCCCACUUCACCCAGAGAGCAUUAGGGUUCAAGCAAUAGCGCAUGACAUAAUUGAGGCUUUACAGAGAGGUUUGAGAAAAGAGAAGGUGUGGAGUGAUGUAAGGUACUCACCAGAGAGUGUUGGGUUGCCUCACGAGACUAGUGGGCACGACAUUUUGAUGGGAUUGGGUGACAAGGUUGCUGAUGAGGAGAAGUGGUUAAAGGAGGAGAAAUGGCACAAGGAUGAUGAAAUUCUUGAUGAUCAUUGGGUGCAGAAGAGUAGGAAGCAUGGUCAAGAGAAAGGGAUGAAAUCCGAGAGCGGGCAUUUGGAGGGUUUGAAGUGGGAGGUUAUUGUGGUUAAUGAGCCUAUAGUUAAUGCCUUUUGUAUGCCUGGUGGUAAGAUUGUUGUUUUUACCGGGCUGCUUAAUCAUUUUAGAUCAGAUUAUGAAAUUGCUACCAUUCUCUCGCAUGAGGUUGCUCAUGCUGUGGCUAGGCACUCGGCUGAACAAAUUUCAAAGAACCUAUGGUUGGCCAUUUUACAGUUAAUUCUGUACCAGUUUGUGAUGCCCGAUAUAGUCAACACAAUGUCAAAUCUCUUCCUAAGGCUUCCUUUUUCUCGGAGCAACGACUGCAUUUGGCAAAUGAUGGUUAUUUAAGGGGAGUAUGUAUGCGUAAUAGACAUUGAUACGAGAAGUACGAUUGUUUCACAUUCUAGUAGGAAUAUGACAGGAUGUAUGAUCUCUAUUCAGUUCAGAAUUCUCUAUUAUUUACCAGAAUAAGUGUCAUCCUGUUCGUUAUGCAGCAAAAACAUUAUUUUUAGCUGUCUGCCUGUUCUCCUUACAUUUCCACUCUAGGAUACAAAAUAUUCAAGAAAAUGAUUCAUGCAUUUGAGAGGUAUAGAAUUCAUAAUGAUUACAGCUUAUAUAGAUGUUUGCAGAUUUCUUUGUUCUUCUGUUUCCUUCAAAAUAUACAUAUUUUCCAUGAACCUUAGAUUUACUCGUCUGACUUAAGGUCCUUGUUGAUCAGAAAAAAAGCUAAUCCCAUAUCACCAGAAAGUUGUGGAUUAACUGUGUCUGGUCGUUGGAUUAGUGGAGUCUAAUUGUAUGUUACACUAUUCUCUGACCAAGGGAAUAUUUUCAAGUAUUAUAUGGGUACUUUGAGAAGUUCACACAUAAAAUAGGUUGUCCUAAUGUUUCUUCCUAUAUAUGCUGAGUUGAGAGAACAUAGCAGAGAGGUCUGAGUUCACAUAACAUAUUGUAAUCCUUUUGCUUCAACUUUGUGAAACUAUGCAGCUGCAAGUGAACAUAGCUCUUGAAUUGGCGGUGAACCACUAUAAUUUUUGAGUUCUUUACUUGCUUUCAAUUUUUUCUCUGUUGUUUUAUUGCCCUUGAUAGCACAGGAUUAGUGAUUAAUCCAUAUCACAUGUUCUUUGUUAGCAACGGAAAAUUAUUAUUUUUUAAAUUUAUGUAUUGUGUCGAAUUCAGAUUGUUUAUUGCAUGGAAUUUCGUUGAAAUGUGCAUAUUACUCCACACCUUAUGUAUGAAGAGUUCGAACUUGGAAAUUGUGCCUUUCGAAAUACUAAAAUGAAGUUUAGCUGGCUCGCUUUCUUGCAAUUGCCAAUCUUGCUAGGUUGCUCUGACCAUUUCCACCUUUAAGUUGAGGUCCAUUUAGUAUUGAUGCAUGACUUUGUUAUGGUUCCAGGAGUGUUAGUUUUUAGCUGAUUAUCACAAAGAAUACGAGGUUUAAAUUAUUUUUCAAUUUCAAAUUCAAAUUUAGUAAGAAUCCAUCACAAAUGGUGCCAAAGGGUUCAUCCGUAAAUUUUUUUAGUAGUAAGAAACUAACCACCAGAACAUCACAUAUUAUAACGCAUUGGAACCAGAAAUUUAGCAUUCAAGAACACAUGCAACGCUUAUUUGUGCCUUCAGAUUCUAUAAAACUUUGUUUUCCCUGCUUUUCGCGUCAAAUUUGGAGCGUAAAUACUGUACAGUAACUUUGGUUUUGAUGAGCAAAUAAUUCCUUGAUGGUUUAAUGUUUUACCUUUUCAUGAAUUGCGUUGCAUUUGGUUUCACUUAAGAAAAUAACCCAUUCCC